UUGACAUGUUUAACAGAAGCUAAUUUGUUGUCCCUUGUAGCAGGAACUUCAGAUCCAGCCUUUGUAAUAACACUACUAUCAUUGCUUCUUUUUCCUAAAAUACCAGAAGUCUUGAGUGGAGGAUAAGGUCCAGAUCCAGCGGCAAAUUUUCCACCAACUUUGGCAGGGAAAUGAGUAGCUUCUGCGCUAACUUUCUUGAUCUUUAUUACGUUACUUUCUUUUGACACAAAAAUGAGAGCCAAAAAGAAAAGUUACUAAUAGAAUAUUAAAAGUUUGCUCCUAAAACCAACAAAUACAAUCUUAUCUUCUUUC